rnacentral:rRNA from 1 species
GGUGAACGCUGGCGGCGUGCCUAAGACAUGCAAGUCGAGCGGGGCAGGUUUAUACCUGUUCAGCGGCGGACGGGUGAGUAACGCGUGGGUGACCUACCCGGAAGAGGCGGACAACCUGGGGAAACCCAGGCUAAUCCGCCAUGUGGUCCUGUCCUGUGGGGCAGGACUAAAGGGGCGACCCACUUCCGGAUGGGCCCGCGUCCCAUCAGCUAGUUGGUGGGGUAAAGGGGCAACAAGGCGACGACGGGUAGCCGGUCUGAGAGGCUGGCCGGCCACAGGGGCACUGAGGCACGGGCCCCACUCCUACGGGAGGCAGCAGUUAGGAAUCUUCCGCAAUGGCCGGAAGUCUGACGGAGCGACGCCGCUUGGAGGCGGAAGCCCUUCGGGGUGUAGACUCCUGAACUGCGGACGAAAGCGCCGUGUAGGGGGAUGACGGUACCCAGGUAAUAGCGCCGGCCAACUACGUG